CGCGUAGGCGGCCCUGGCAGUCGGGUGUGAAAGCCCGGGGCUCAACCCGGAACGGCACACGAUACUCCAGGGCUCGAGGCCGGAAGAGGAGGGUGGAAUACCCAGUGUAGAGGUGAAAUUCGUAGAUAUUGGGUGGAACACCGGUGGCGAAAGCGGCUCUCUGGUCCGGACCUGACGCUGAGGCGCGAAAGCGUGGGGAGCAAACA
rnacentral:rRNA from 1 species